rnacentral:rRNA from 1 species
UACGAAGGGGGCUAGCGUUGCUCGGAAUCACUGGGCGUAAAGGGUGCGUAGGCGGGUCUUUAAGUCAGGGGUGAAAUCCUGGAGCUCAACUCCAGAACUGCCUUCGAUACUGGCGAUCUUGGAGUCCGGGAGAGGUGAGUGGAACUCCGAGUGUAGAGGUGAAAUUCGUAGAUAUUCGGAAGAACACCAGUGGCGAAGGCGGCUCACUGGCCCGGUACUGACGCUGAGGUGCGAAAGCGUGGGGAGCAAACAGG